AAAUAAGAAGUAAAACAUUACAUUUAGUUUCGACCUAAAAAUUUGGUUAUUAAAAACCCUUAUUUU
rnacentral:tRNA from 1 species